rnacentral:rRNA from 1 species
UACGUAGGGUGCGAGCGUUGUCCGGAAUUAUUGGGCGUAAAGAGCUUGUAGGCGGUUUGUCGCGUCUGCCCGUGAAAAUCCGGGGCUCAACCCCGGACUUGCGGUGGGUACGGGCAGACUAGAGUGUGGUAGGGGAGACUGGAAUUCCUGGUGUAGCGGUGAAAUGCGCAGAUAUCAGGAGGAACACCGGUGGCGAAGGCGGGUCUCUGGGCCGUAACUGACGCUGAGGAGCGAAAGCGUGGGGAGCGAACAGG